rnacentral:lncRNA from 13 species
UUUCAAUUAUUGCUAUUGGUAUUUAUCUGAGAAAUUAGAGGAGUAGAGAUGUUACUAGAACUGAUGCUUUCUUCAGCAAAUAUCCACUUAUUCCAACAUAUUAUUCUAAGAAACUCUGAUAGGCAAUAGAGUCUCAUUUUUUUCAGAAAUAUCGCUUAGGUCUUCUUUGGCUUUUCGUUAUACAGUUUAUCUUUGUUACUUUUAUUAUAGUGCCUCUUGGUGAUUGUUCAUAAACCCUAUUUCUGUUUCCCCUCUGAAGUAUGAAAUGGGCAGAAGUUGCUGUCAUAACUCAAAUCCUCUUCCAGGCUCUGCUUUUCUACAUAACAACCUUUUGCUGAGUUUUUAAAAGAAAUUCCAUGAGUUUUGAAGAAUUCAGACUGUUGCCUGAAAUCUGUAUUUUCUUUCUGCAUUAUCUCAUUAUUUGACCCAAAUUUACUGUAUUUCAUAUGUAUCAUCGCAAUUGGUGAUAUGAGGUGGUCACUACUUCUUAGUUUUAUUAGUGAUGAAGUUGUCUUUUAAAUUUUGUUUUCAUUAUUUAAAGAACACUUUUAAUUGGUGUCUGAGAGGGGUUAGGAAAAAAUCAAUCUCUUGUCUUUUUCUGAAAAUAUGUAAGCAAUCCAAUGUACAAACAGACUUUAUUUUAUUUCAUCAUACACAGGUAUAAUGUAGAACAACAGAGAAGACCCAUGGAAGAUGUAGAGAGUAACUGCCACAGACCAGAAAAAUCGUGGUGGAUGUCAGUGGUAUCAUCGUACCAGACCAAUAUACUGAUGAUCUCAAGAAAGUAAAAUCAGAUGAGCAGAAAUUGUCAAGUCGGUUGAAGGCCUUGGUAAAAAAUAUAUGCUUAAAGGAAUGAGAGCUGAACUCUGUGAAGACUUGGGUAAGUAUUUAAGGAUUCAGUAGUCCUGGUAUACCAUGACAUCUCUUCCAGGGUACAGGACAGAUUUUUGCCUCUUGCUCUACCACAUGGUAAAGAAAAUGCAAUGCUUGACAUGCUGCUAGGUCAUGAAGAUAACUUAAUCUAUGCCUGGAAAUACAGUUCCAGCUCAUAC